rnacentral:rRNA from 1 species
UACGGGAGGCAGCAGUAGGGAAUCUUCCACAAUGGACGCAAGUCUGAUGGAGCAACGCCGCGUGAGUGAAGAAGGUUUUCGGAUCGUAAAGCUCUGUUGUUGGUGAAGAAAGAUAGUGAGAGUAACUGCUCAUUAUUUGCCGGUAAUCAACCAGAAAGUCACGGCUAACUACGUGCCAGCAGCCGCGGUAA